GACGUAGGGCGCGAGCGUUGUCCGGAUUUAUUGGGCGUAAAGAGCUCGUAGGCGGUGUGUCGCGUCGGCCGUGAAAACCUGCAGCUUAACUGUGGGCUUGCGGUCGAUACGGGCAUCACUGGAGUUCGGCAGGGGAGACUGGAAUUCCUGGUGUAGCGGUGAAAUGCGCAGAUAUCAGGAGGAACACCGGUGGCGAAGGCGGAUCUCUGGGCCGUAACUGACGCUGGAGGAGCGAAAGCGUGGGGAGCAAACAGG
rnacentral:rRNA from 1 species